CAGAAUUAACGCUGGCGGCAUGCGUAACACAUGCAAGUCGUACGAGAAGCCCUUCGGGGGCGAGUAAGUGGCGCACGGGUGAGUAACGCGUGGGUAAUCUACCCCGGUCUGGGGGAUAACGCACCGAAAGGUACGCUAAUACCGCAUAAUCCGGCGGGUCUUAGGGCCUGACGGGAAAGGUGGCCUCUACACGUAAGCUACCGAACCGGGAUGAGCCCGCGUCCUAUUAGCUAGUUGGUGGGGUAAUGGCCUACCAAGGCGACGAUGGGUAGCUGGUCUGAGAGGACGGCCAGCCACACUGGAACUGACACACGGUCCAGACUCCUACGGGAGGCAGCAGUGAGGAAUAUUGCGCAAUGGGGGAAACCCUGACGCAGCGAUGCCGCCGUGGGUGAAGAAGGCCUUCGGGUCGUAAAGCCCUGUCAAGCGGGAAGAAUAGCCGUAGGGCUAAUAUCCUUACGGUGUGACGGUACCGCUGAAGGAAGCACCGGCUAACUCCGUGCCAGCCGCCGC
rnacentral:rRNA from 1 species